CGCAGCCCCGCCUCCCAUGCGUGCCAUGGCGUCGCUCUUGUCGUGCGCUGGGAGUGCGGGGGGAGGGGCUCCGGCCGCCAUUGCUGCUUGGCUGCUGCGCUGCCGCUGUCCUGGCGCGGAGCCCAUCUGCCGAUUGAAGCGCACCGCGGCGUGACCGCAGGGGCCCAGCGGAGGGUGCAGACGAGGUCCCGACGCGAGCCCCAGCUGCCCACAGCCGCCCGGUCCGGAGCCCGAAGGGCCCUCCCUUCCCCCGUUGCUAGGCAGCCGCGUCGGGCGAGGGAGGCGGGGCACGGGAGGGGCGGCUCCCCGCCUUGGACUAGUACUGCAUCCUGGGCUGCUUCGGACAGGGUGCGCACGGCGUCGUCUUCAAGGGACUGGCGAGAUCGUUGCCCUCAAGAAGGUGGCUCUGCAGCAGCUGGAGGAUGGCAUCCCCCCAACCAGGUCCUGCGGGAGAUCAAGGCCCUUCAGGAGAUGGAGGAUAAUCAGUAUAUGAGUGAGGCUGGGCCCUGGAGGCCCUUCCUCCCUCCUGCAUUCCCUACAAUUUAUCCUCUCAAUUACUUCUCCACCUGGCCACCCUCAUUCACCCAGUUACUGCGUUCCUCUCUCCUUCCCUCUCCCAUUCACACACUCAUUUUUUCAUUUACUCAUUCAUUCAUUCACUAACAUAUACUUUUUCUUUUAUAACGUCUAGUGAUUUCUAACAAUAGUGGUAACUGCCUCCUGUUGCCCUCCUGUCAGGCUCUGCAGGCUGAGCUAACUGUUACCCUACAUUGCUCUUGUGAGUUCACCACCUCACAAGACAGGUUUCAGGAUCUCCCUCUUGGCGCCAGUGCACCCUCACACAGUGAGCAGGAGCAAAGCCCGGCAGGCCCCAAGCGACCUUAAGGAGCACCAAGCACAGGGACAGAGAUGCCUGAUAGAUGAACACAUCAAUGCGUAUGUCCAGGUUCUGAUGAGGACAGGAGACUGGGUAGGGCAGGAAGAGAGCUGGAGGGACACAAGCCUGUUAGAAGUUCUGUGUGGAUGAGGUCAUCCCCUCCCUGCCUGAAAUGCCCCAGGGGCUUCUCUUUACUGCUUCUGCCUGUCUCCAGCCUCUCUCUCCAUUUAUCCGGUACACUUCUUAAGCGUCUCUGCCAAGCACCAUCUAGGCUCCAGGAGCACAGAAAAGCAGGCGUCCUUCCCCCGAGGGCCCACAGGCUUGUGUCCCUCCAGCCCUCUUCCUGCACCCUCAUUGUGCUUGCUGUCCCUCUGCCUGGAGCUCCUUCCAGAACCAGCCCUGCCCUACCCAGUCUCUAGGUUGUGGCUGGAGGCUGCAAGGGGAGUCCGAGCCAUGUGAGCCCAGAGGCUGACCGGGUGCCUGCCUGCAGGAAGUACAGCUAAAGGCUCCUACAUGGCGUGGGCUUUGUGCUGGCCUUUGAGUUCAUGCUGUCAGAUCUGGCUGAGGUGAGGUGGUGUGCCACGUUACCUGCAAAUGCUGCUCAAGGGCGUUGCCUCCUGCCACACCAGCAACAUCGUGCAGCGGCCGAGGCCCUCUGGGGCCUCCUGGGGAACUGAAGCCUCCUUUGGUGCCCACGGGACUUGAAACCAGCCAACCUGCUCAUCAGUGCCUCAGGCCAGCUCAAGAUAGCAGACUUUGGCCUGGCCUGGGUCUUCUCCCCAGAUGACACCUGCCUCUCCACACACCAGGUGGCCACCAGGUAGGGAGGGCCAGUUCCCAGACAGGGCCUGGCAACUGACAGGCCUUGAUCCUCUCAUUGUGGACGAGAUGCUUCUGGAUUCUCGUGGGGCUGGGGUGGGACUUGGGUGACCUUCCAGGGCAGCCUUGUGUCAGACAGGUGACCUGGCUAUGAGCACCCCCUCUUCCUCACAGGUGGUACUGAGCCCCCGAGCUCCUGUACAGGGCCUGGCAGUGGGAACAGGGGGUCGGCCUAUGGUGAGAUUCCUGAGGGUGGGGCAAGGGGAGUGUGGGUUAUGGGGUCACAUUUUUCUCCUGGGCUUUGAGGCCGCUCUGCUGUGUGGAGGUGUUUUCCUGCUGUGAGCUCUAAAUUUCUCCAGAUGUCUUCCUCAGUUUGGGUGUCUCUGAGGAGUUCAGGGACAGUGUCCCUGCCUGUGACAGUUUUGAGCUAGAUAGGGAUCAGGUGAGAUUGGAGUGGGAAGCUUCUGGGUUGCGGUGGGGGAGGUGGUCUGAGGCACAAGACAUGGGGCAUCUAAGCUAGUACAUAUGGGAUGACGUCCCAGAUGGAAUGCCCCUGAGCUGUCCAGGGCCUGGGUAUCUGAGCCUGUCCUUGGGACAGGAUGGCUGUAUAUGUCUAAGAGUUUGAGGUUUGGGAGCUGCUUCAGGGCGCUGCAUCCUGAUGUGAGGAGGUGGCUGUGUCCCAGAGGGCGUGCUCCCAGGAGUCUCUGCGCUGCUGAGGGGCUGCUGUGUGUUUUGGAGGUGAGGCCUGCAUGCUGCUUGGAGGAGGAUAUGCCCUGUGUUCUAGGCUGGAGGUCUUUGAUUGUUUAUGAGUCCCUGAUGAUGAGUGUCUGCUGCUUUGUGCAUGCCUUGGCCCAGUGGGGAGCUUUGUGGAGGCUGUGUGAGAAGAUGUGUGUCCUGUAAUGUAAGGUGAUGGAGCUGGUGUGGGGAGCCCCGUGUCCGUUGUGGCCAGGAUGGUGGUGGGGGAGCCCCGCAUCCGUGGUCGGGGGGAUGAUGGUAGGGGAGCCCCAUGUCCGUGGUGGUGGUGGGACCAUGGUGGGGGAGCCCCGAGUCCAUGGUGGGGGGACAGUGGUCGGGGAGCCCCACAUCUGUGGUAGCUGGGACAAUGGUGGAGGAGCCCCACGUCUGUGGUGGGGGGACCAUGGUCGGGGAGCCCCGUGUCCAUGGUGGGGGGAUGAUGGUGGGGGAGCCCCGCAUCUGUGGUGGCCGGGACGAUUGUGGGGGAGCCCUGCAUCUGUGGUGGAGUCUUUGAUCUGUGUGGGUUGUCUGUCCACAGGGCCGUGGGCUGCAUCCUAGGGAGUUGUUGAAUGGGUCCCUCCUUUUCCCAGGGGAGAAUGACAUCGAGCAGCUGUGCUGUGUUCUUUGCAUCUUGGUACCCCCAGCCCUCAAGUGUGGCCAGUUUGCAGGGCGUUUGCUGUUGGGAGGGGUGGGGCAGGUGCCCUUCAGGCUCCGGCGGCUCGUGACUCCCCUCCUGCACCAUCUCUUGCGGCCCCAUGCCCCCUGGCCCCACACUGGUUACCAGGGCCAUAAUGACCCAAGGGGUGGGGGGCACGUGAUGGGGGGCUGUGAGUGAGAAGUAGCAGGUUGGGAGCUUAAGCUGCUGAGCCAGGGUUGCUGGUGGGUAGGUGCCAGCCCGAAGUACCUCUGUCCCCAGGAGAUUACAGAGCUGCCCGACUACAAGAUCUUUUUCAAGGAUCAGGUGUCCAUUCCACUCAGGGAGGUGCUACCUGACGUCUCCCCUCAGGCCUUGGACCUGCUGGGGCACUUCCUCCUGUACCCUCCACACCAGCGCACUGCAGCCUCCCAGAUAGGGUGCCCCGUGGCCUGAGCCUCUGUGCUGGUGGCCAGGUGAGCCAUGGUGGGAGUCCCUCCUGACUUGGGUGGGCUGGACCAGGAGCCUGGGGAUGCUGAGGUGCCUUCCAUGAGCAGAGCCUGGGGCUGUGGGUGGGUUGGGGUGGCCUAGAAGGCAUGACCCCCUCACACCCGGGGAUUGGUGACUGGCUCCUUGGUGCCUCCAGUGAGUGUUUUCUUAGCACCAGGCAUGAGCAGGUCAUUGUCCUAGGCCUGUCCUGUCCCUGUGGGUCUCGUCCUGUGGUGAGGCAGGGCAUCCAGGCUGUGGGAACUCAGGUUGGGGAGGGAUGGGUUGGGAUGGACUUUGGGGUCAUAAGGUUUCCUGGGGAGGUAGAUGCUGGAGGGCUGCAGAGCGGGCCUAGGAGGGAGAUUGGGCGGGAAUGGUGGGGGAGCACUAGGGGCUGAUGGCCGAUGGUGUCGGCGCCUCACUCAGGCGCCCCUGGCCCCCGGCCUUGUGGCCACCAUUCCCCUCUGACCUCAGCUCGAGCAGCGUGGGUUUAUGCUCGCCCCUGGUGAGUUCUCAUGUCAGCAGCACUCUGUAGUGCUGGGGCCGCCCGACCACUUCCCGGCCCCCUGCUGCCUGCCCCGCUGCCUUGAAUCCACUUCUCUUGUCCAUUUGGUGUCCCCUCACUGGCAGUGGGAGCCACUUUGCCCAGGCAGGUCCGCCAGACCUCAGAGAAGCCAGGUCCUGUUGGCCCACAGGUAUCACACGCUUGAGGGCGUCACACACUUGGGGUUGUUAACCUGUGUCUUGCCAGCUCCUGUCCCACCUUUUUCGCUCUGCUUGGGCCCAGAGCCCCUCCACAUCCUGGGGCCUGUGCCCUUCUGCCCCUGCUGGGCUCCUGAACCACUGCAGGCUGGCGUGUACGCUUCCUUCCCUGGGGCUGAUUGCCCGACCGCCCUGGGCUUCCUUCAGCCACUCACUGCCCGAGCCCACUGGGUGGGAGCAUGCCCUGUGGGGAGCCUUUGCCUGAUCCCUGCUGCCUCCCCUCCUCGGGAGGGAGUGCUGCCCAGACAGUUAGCACUAGAAGGGAGCCCACUGAGCGGUGGGGGAUGAGGAGGAGGGCCUCUGUGGGGAGGUCUCUGUGUCCCUCCUCCGGAAGGUGAGCUGAGCUGGGACCGGGAGGUGACUUUGUCUUCUUCUGCCCUUUGCUUGCUGCCCCUGGGCCCCCCUGCACUCAUACUUCUUCACAGCUCCCGUGCCUGCCCACCCCUUGGAGCUGCCGAUUCCCCAGUGCACUGGGUGUCCUGCCCCCAAGGCCCACCCGGGUGCCCCCACAUCUGUGACUUCCACAUGGACCGGCCUCUUGAGGAGUCACUGUUGAACCCAGAGCCGAUUCAGCCCUUCAUCCCAGAGGGUUGCGAUGCUGGGCCAGUCCCACUGGCCUCAGCCCCAUGGCCACCUGGACCUCUCAUUCCUCUCUCCAGCCUGAUGACCUCCCACAGCUUCCCCAUGGCUACCGUGGGCCCAUACCUGGCCCUGCUCCCAGUAACUUGGGAACCCAAUUCUAAAACACACGUGGAAGUGACUGAGCUAAGGGGAAGUAGCUGACACAGAAGCAAAAGAGAAAAACAGGACAGCACACCGGGACUGAUCUCGGGGCUGCAACAAGCAAGACUGUGAAACUGGUUCAGGGAGAUACAAAAAACAGGCAUGCCAGAGAUUUUUUAGCAAUAAAGAAAUAGGGAACCAUAAUACUAAUAGUGUUAACACUUUUGUUGUAUUUUUCUUACAUUCUGACAAAUAUUUUUGUUCAUAAUGUAAAUUCAAUUUCCUGAGAAUUCACUCACAGAAGUUUCACCUCAGUUUUGGCUUGGAAAAUGCCAGGGUGAUGCCCUGUCACCAUGCAUAUGGUGUUUUGAAGUUUCCUGUUAUUUAUACAGCAAGAUAACAUUCCAUUUUCUAUACUUCUGUUUAGCAUAUGGGAAAGAAACAUAGUCCUCAAAGCUAUGCUUACAUAUAUAAAUAGAAUAUUCACAAUGGAGCAUGAAUAAGCCAUUAUUAUCUUUAUUCUUCCUCAAUGGAUGCUAGUGAGAGAAUCAAGUCAGGCACAAUAAGGAAUAAACUAAGAGUUAUAGUUAAAGAAUAUUCAAAGCCUAACCUUUUUAAGAUGCUUCUUAUUCUGUUAAUUUUCUUGUCCAAAUAGAAAUCAUUUAAUAAUCUGGGAUAAUGUACUGAAGCAAUGUAUACAUGUGGUAGGAAAAAAAAAUUCAAGAUAAACAAAAGGACAUGAACAAUUCUAAGGCCUUCAAUACUUAGAUUUGGAAAUGACUGUACAGAGUUCACUCUUAAGUCAGGGGUGACUUCUUUCAGUGCCCUCAGGACGGUACUGACAGAGGCCCAGCGGGGCCAGAGUGACAAAGUGAUUAACUUACUCAUGUCAGAUACACCCUGGAGGUUCAAAUGUGAGCCAGUCUGCUUAUUUGGAAUUUUAUUUCCUUCCUCAAGUCACCAGUCAUAAAACUGUAAGUAUUUUAUUAAAGAAAAUCAAUGAGAUUCACCAAGUAUGAAUAGGAGGGAAAAGGCAGACUCACCAUCUCUGCACCAAGCCUUACAAACCCAGGGCUGAGAUGCUGGACAGCUCUAAGGAGCUGCUGAAGGACGCUGGAGGCAAGAAUGCCAAGGGAGCACCGCAACCAUCUGCUAGGAGAAAACACCAUGAUACAGUUAACAUGCAGGCUGCUGCAGCUGAGGGAGUAAUAAGCAAUAACAACAAAAAAAGAGAUACAUGGAGACCUAGGGGAAAGAUCCUUCUGGUUUUAAAUUAAAAGAUUUGAACACGUGUACUGAAGAAUAAUUUGCACAGAGUAAAACUCACCCUUUAAAAAAUAGUGCACAGCUCUAUUAGUUUUGACAAACACAUGUGGCCACGUAACCUCCACCAUAAUGAGGAAACUGAACAGUCCAUCAGCCCUCAGGAUUCACUCAUGUCCUGCAUUUUCAUGCUUCUGCAAGGUGUCUGGGUGCACCACCAACCUGCAACCACUUUCUGCUAAACCUGGUGCUCAGGUUCUUCGGGUGCAGACACAGGAGUGUGAAUGCUGUGUCUACACCUUACUGUGCUUAGGAAGGCUCAGGGCACUCUGCAGAAAACCUGUGCGGCGGCACACAAGGCUUGGACACUGUGCACAUGUUCAGAUCAGUUACCUUCAUGAAGAUGGACCCAUAAAGGCAUCAUCUGUAGUGGGGAACUAGAAGACCCCACACUCUGAUCUCUGCAGAAGGAAUCGCUGGGAGGUAAUGCCCAUGAGGGCCGAAUGCCCCUCCUUGGGGCUGGUGGCUCUAGUCUCCCGGGAAUUUCCCUGCCUUUCCAACCCAAGGCCCCUGCACCUCACUGUCAGCCAGGGAUGAUCCCCUGUUGCUUGUGUUCUGGUAUAAAUGAAGUGCUGUGGACUGGGGAGUAUUUGGUCCAGAUGAACUCACUUGUCAUCCUACCAUGAGCACCCCCAGAGCCCUGCUGUCCUGGUGGCCACAACUGUGAGCCUGAGGAAGCCCUGGGUCCACUCCUACCUCGGGCAGCUCCUCUCUUUAUAAUUGUGGGGGUGACAUCUGUGUUCUUUAGUCUAAUCCUGUGCUUUCUUUACUAAGAUACUACAUGUUUUCUCAUUCAGGCAGCUAUCCCUUCUUAUUUUCUAUUCUAUUUAUUGACUCAUUAAUUUUAAACAUGUUUUAUGUCACAUGUUGGGAUAGUUUUGUGGGAGAGGAACACUACACCUUAGAAAUAUCUUUAUAAUAUUCUGCAUAUUCUGUAAGUACCCUUUUCUUUGGGAUCAACUUUUCAGGUUCACUGAAGGAAAGAAACAUACAGAAUUAACUGUA